rnacentral:rRNA from 1 species
AACGAACGCUGGCGGCGUGCUUAACACAUGCAAGUCGAACGUGAAAGUGGCUUCGGCCAUGAGUAAAGUGGCAGACGGGUGAGUAACACGUGGGUAACCUGCCCCUUGGCGGGGGAUAACCAUUCGAAAGGAUGGCUAAUACCGCAUAAGACCACGUCCCUUAGGGGAUGAGGUAAAAGACGAAAGUCACCGGGGGAGGGGCCCGCGGCCGAUUAGCUAGUUGGUGAGGUAAUGGCUCACCAAGGCGACGAUCGGUAGCUGGUCUGAGAGGAUGAUCAGCCACACUGGUACUUAGACACGGACCAGACUCCUACGGGAGGCAGCAGUGGGGAAUAUUGCGCAAUGGACGAAAGUCUGACGCAGCAACGCCGCGUGGGUGAAGAAGGCCUUCGGGUCGUAAAGCCCUGUCAGGUGGGAAGAAACCUGCGUAAGCAGCUGACGGUACCACCAAAGGAAGCACCGGCUAACUCCGUGCCAGCAGCCGCAGUAAAAC